UUCUCCUGCAAAGGCGUGGUUUUGGUUCCCUGUCCUUGGACAGGGAAGAAUUGGAGACAAAGAAAUGUGGUGGAUUUGGAAAGGUCUAGGACCAGCUUGCCCACAGAG